rnacentral:rRNA from 1 species
GACGAACGCUGGCGGCGUGCCUAAUACAUGCAAGUUGAGCGAUGAAGAUUGGUGCUUGCACCAAUUUGAAGAGCAGCGAACGGGUGAGUAACGCGUGGGGAAUCUGCCUUUGAGCGGGAGACAACAUUUGGAAACGAAUGCUAAUACCGCAUAACAACUUUAAACAUAAGUUUUAAGUUUGAAAGAUGCAAUUGCAUCACUCAAAGAUGAUCCCGCGUUGUAUUAGCUAGUUGGUGAGGUAAAGGCUCACCAAGGCGAUGAUACAUAGCCGACCUGAGAGGGUGAUCGGCCACAUUGGGACUGAGACACGGCCCAAACUCCUACGGGAGGCAGCAGUAGGGAAUCUUCGGCAAUGGACGAAAGUCUGACCGAGCAACGCCGCGUGAGUGAAGAAGGUUUUCGGAUCGUAAAACUCUGUUGGUAGAGAAGAACGUUGGUGAGAGUGGAAAGCUCAUCAAGUGACGGUAACUACCCAGAAAGGGACGGCUAACUACGUG